rnacentral:tRNA from 1 species
GUCAGGCUGUAGCUCCAUGGCAGAGCAUCUGUUUGGCAUGCAGAAGGUCCCAAGUUAAAUCCUUGGCAUUUUUGGCU